rnacentral:lncRNA from 1 species
GCCAAAGAGAACGGCCGAAGUCCCUCCAUAGCAGGACUCAUAAAUGAAGAUAUCCUUAGAAGGAUAACAAAGGGCUAUAAUCAAAGCCUAAAUCAGUUUAUCUGAAACACAUAUACGAAAUCACAGCGCAGAAUGCAGGACUAAAAGCCAAAAACUGACAUGAUAGUUGUCAUUACAAAGGUACAAGACUUGAUCUCCCAAAACAUCAGCUAAGAGCUGAGCUCACAACUUAAGCUUAAUUCAGAGUUUCUGAAUGAAAAUAUAUAGUUUACAUCACAAAUACGAAGCGUAGAGAUAAAAUGUAAAGAAAUAUGAAAAACAAGAAAGAAACUAAUAUUGCAUUAAUGACUAUUACAUUUUAUUUCUCUGGUGAGGACGGAGGAUAAACAGUCCUUAAAGGACUUAUAUCAGUAAGUACAUCCUCGCCUGCAUUAUCUCUAUUUACUGCCACCCCCGAAGGAAGCUCGGUGUCCCUGGGGCCUGAGCUCUCAACAUUGCUAGUGGGGGCAACCUCUGACCUAGGGUGGAGGCCGUCUUUCUCAGAAUCAAGAUCAUCUUCCUCC